rnacentral:rRNA from 1 species
GAUGAACGCUGGCGGCGUGCUUAACACAUGCAAGUCGAACGGAGAGAAAGUGCUUGCACUUUCUCUUAGUGGCGGACGGGUGAGUAACGCGUGGGUAACCUGCCCUAUGCAGGGGGAUAACGUUUGGAAACGAACGCUAAUACCGCAUAAUCUAUGAGAGUCGCAUGACUUUCAUAGCAAAGAUUUAUCAGCAUAGGAUGGACCCGCGUUGGAUUAGCUAGUUGGUGAGAUAAUAGCCCACCAAGGCGACGAUCCAUAGCCGGCCUGAGAGGGUGAACGGCCACACUGGGACUGAGACACGGCCCAGACUCCUACGGGAGGCAG